rnacentral:rRNA from 1 species
AUUGAACGCUGGCGGCAGGCCUAACACAUGCAAGUCGAGCGGAUGAAGGGAGCUUGCUCCUGGAUUCAGCGGCGGACGGGUGAGUAAUGCCUAGGAAUCUGCCUGGUAGUGGGGGAUAACGUCCGGAAACGGGCGCUAAUACCGCAUACGUCCUGAGGGAGAAAGUGGGGGAUCUUCGGACAUCACGCUAUCAGAUGAGCCUAGGUCGGGUUAGCUAGUUGGUGGGGUAAAGGCCUACCAAGGCGACGAUCCGUAACUGGUCUGAGAGGAUGAUCAGUCACACUGGAGCUGGGACACGGUCCAGACUCCUACGGGAGGCAGCAGUGGGGAAUAUUGGACAAUGGGCGAAAGCCUGAUCCAGCCAUGCCGCGUGUGUGAAGAAGGUGUUCGGAUUGUAAAGAACUUUAAGUUGGGAGGAAGGGCAGUAAGUUAAUACCUUGCUGUUUUGACGUUACCAACAGAAUAAGCACCGGCUAACUUCGUG